CCACUUCCUGAUGAGAAGUCCCGUGUUGCCAUCCUCAAGGCUAACCUGCGCAAGUCCCCAGUUGCCAAGGAUGUGGACUUGGAGUUCCUGGCUAAAAUGACUAAUGGCUUCUCUGGAGCUGACCUGACAGAGAUUUGCCAGCGUGCUUGCAAGCUGGCCAUCCCCUGCUCCAUUCUCCAGUCUGAACAGUUCAGCUACAGUCUGACUCUGGACAGGGGGUUUCUGUUGCAAAAAUACAAAACAAAAGCGAUAAAAUAAAAGCGAUUUUCAUUUGGUAGGCGGAGAGUGAAUUACCAACAGGGAAUUGGGCCUUGGGCCUAUGCCAUUUCUGUUGUAGUUUGGGGCAGUGCAGGGGACCUGUGUGGGGUGUGAACCAAGGCACUACUGCCACCUGCCACAGUAAAGCAUCUGCACUUGACUCAAUGCUGCCCGAGCCCUCCCUUCCCCCUAUCCAACCUGGGUAGGUGGGUAGGGGCCACAGUUGCUGGAUGUUUAUAUAGAGAGUAGGUUGAUUUAUUUUACAUGCUUUUGAGUUAAUGUUGGAAAACUAAUCACAAGCAGUUUCUAAACCAAAAAAUGACAUGUUGUAAAAGGACAAUAAACGUUGGGUCAAAAUGGAGCCUG
rnacentral:lncRNA from 1 species